rnacentral:rRNA from 1 species
UACGUAGGGUGCAAGCGUUGUCCGGAAUUAUUGGGCGUAAAGAGCUCGUAGGCGGUCUGUCGCGUCUGCUGUGAAAACUCAGGGCUUAACCCUGAGCUUGCAGUGGGUACGGGCAGACUAGAGUGCGGUAGGGGAGACUGGAAUUCCUGGUGUAGCGGUGAAAUGCGCAGAUAUCAGGAGGAACACCGGUGGCGAAGGCGGGUCUCUGGGCCGUAACUGACGCUGGAGG